GACGAACGCUGGCGGCGUGCCUAAUACAUGCAAGUCGAACGCUGAAGGAGGAGCUUGCUUCUCUGGAUGAGUUGCGAACGGGUGAGUAACGCGUAGGUAACCUGCCUGGUAGCGGGGGAUAACUAUUGGAAACGAUAGCUAAUACCGCAUAAGAGUAGAUGUUGCAUGACAUUUGCUUAAAAGGUGCAAUUGCAUCACUACCAGAUGGACCUGCGUUGUAUUAGCUAGUUGGUGGGGUAACGGCUCACCAAGGCGACGAUACAUAGCCGACCUGAGAGGGUGAUCGGCCACACUGGGACUGAGACACGGCCCAGACUCCUACGGGAGGCAGCAGUAGGGAAUCUUCGGCAAUGGACGGAAGUCUGACCGAGCAACGCCGCGUGAGUGAAGAAGGGUUUCGGAUCGUAAAGAUCGGUUGUAAGAGAAGAACGAGUGUGAGAGUGGAAAGUUCACACUGUGACGGUAUCUUACCAGAAAGGGACGGCUAACUACGUG
rnacentral:rRNA from 1 species